ACAGGAUGGAUAAUUCGAGUGUCUUGAUACAUUUUUGGUUGUUUGAGUUGUUUCCCUUGGUUUCCCGCAAUUUUGAUCAUGUGACUAGUUUUGUCUUUGUUGAAGCGGCUUUGUAAAAUCUAAGUUCAGACAUUUUCUUAGUGUUUUAAAUUUAUUUAAAAUUUGGAUUAUUGAUAGUUGAAAUUACAGCACAGAGAGUUUGGUUGUAUGUGUGUUUUGGAGAAGAUGAUGUAAUAUGAUAUAAUUGUACAUUCAGUUCCACAAACUGAGUGUCAAUUGAUUUGAUCGAGUCGAUUGAAUGAGAUUUAUUGACGAUUCAUUGACGAUUCAUAUAGUUUGUCGAUCAUUGAUUGGUUUACUGAUGUUUGGAUAUAUAUGUAAGAUUGAUAUACAUGUAUGUGAACUGGAAGAUAAAUAAAUACAUUAGAACUGUGCACAGUUAUUUGUUUGGAAAGACAUCUUUGAUCCAUAUUUAGACGCCGCAGCGAUAUAAGAAUAGAACCCAAUUUCUUGGUUAUUACAACCUUUCAAUUUCAACCAAGUUACAUAAACAAUCUAAACAAUCUAUAUCCUAAUAUAU